rnacentral:lncRNA from 1 species
GUGGCACAUUGCUACCUCCGUAACCAACAGUAACUGCACACAGUGUUCUCUGCAGCCUAGGGCUGUCACACCCCAACCUUGCUAUGUCUUAUUUGCAAAUCCAUGGAGAGACAAUGAAGUUUUUAUAGCUGGGGUGUGAAGAUUCGCAGUCGCAGUCAGACGUCUACCUGUCUACACAUUGACGACCAAUGACAGCAUUUAUUGGAUGAUCUGACGAACUGCAAUUCGAAACUCGCGCGUGCAGUUGCAACAUAGACAGAUACUUUGUCGACACUGGAAGCAGCAGCGACUGGAGUCACCUCUUCUGAAGUAUGCUGUACAUGGAAGUGAAGGGCUAGCAAUCAUGUACAUGGGAAUUGUGAAGUCUGAUACCGGUACUGACGUUUGACGGGCACAGGAAAUGUUACAAGUGGAACCCUGGAUACGAAAAGGACGAAGAUAAAUAACUGGAUAGUUGUACAAAAAUUUCUACUACGCGCUAACAGCGGCUGACGCAUUACAAACAUCACAUCGUUCACUGCACAUGCCGGUGAAGCAACUGUCAUCCGAUUCCAAUAUCAUGUCAAAACCUACAUACCCACAAACUCAAGCUCCCUGUGAUUCACUGCCAUGGCUUUCCGUCCUUGCGUUCACUCACCAUUCGCCCCUCAUUCUACAACAUCGCCCUCAUUCUCACACUCCCAUUCUCACCCCUGCUCACUGCAACACAUCCAUGUGCCCUUGUCACAUCUUCUUCUCACGUAUCAAUCCUGAACCCACUGCAGCCAUAUACUUGCAGCUUUCCCCUCGUUCCUGAAACAAUCUCCUCACAGCUCUUCAGCCACCUUAACACGUUCGCUCCAAACGCCAAUUCUGAGCACUACUGUUCAGCGUCACUUCCAAGGCAGCACAGUCUGUCGUCGAGUCACCUCCAGCAACAGUUUCACAUACAGCAUGGCACUGUGAAGCCCAUGGCGGCUGAUUCAACGGACAAAAGCACAGUGGCAAGCUUUCUGGGAUUAGGAGAAUAGGUGGAGCACUGCACGGUGCUGGUGGGCAGCAGUGCGCUGGGAGUUGGUCUCCCAGUGGUUGCAAAAUUCUCACUGGAGCUGUCAAAGCUGCAAACUUCCUCGGAGAUGAUGGGUGAUGAGUGCAGAGGUUGGCUCAACGGCACCAACCAACUACAAUAUAGUUCUUGCUUUAACUGUGUGAGCAGCACAGAUGUCGGUAGACAAAACUAGGAACGUUGUGAUGAAGCCCCACUUCGUUUCAAUUUC